UGUCUGUCUGUCUGUCUGUCCGUCCGUAUGUCACAGCCACUUUUCUCUGAAACUAUAAGAACUUUACUGUUGAAACUUGGUAAGUAGAUGUAUUCUGUGAACCGCAUUAAGAUUUUCACACAAAAAUAGAAAAAAAAUAAAUAAAUUUUGGGGAUUCCCCAUACUUGCAACUAAAAUUUAAUUUUUUUUUCAUCAAACCCAUAGGUGUGGGGUAUCUAUGGAUAGGUCUUCAAAAAUGAUAUUGAGGUUUCUAAUAUAUUUUUUUUCUAAACUGAAUAAUGUACAUUACUAUGCAAACUUCCACCAAAAAUUGGUUUGAACGAGAUCUAGUAAGUAGUUUUUUUAAUACGUCAUAAAUCGUAAA